rnacentral:misc_RNA from 1 species
CCCAGUUCUAAUUUUCAAUUGAUGCAUCUGGAGAAUGAAGAUUAAAUCAUAUGUCAAUACACUUGUUUUCGUUCUGGAUAACUUACAAAUGCUACUGGAUGAACAAAAUUAUUGAUGAUAAAUGAAAAACAGUAGCUUAUAACAAAGAAGUCUUUCUUUAAAAUAUGAAUUGGCUUCCACCCCAGACGAAAGAGUACAAUCAUGGGGACAUUUUCCAUGUCCAGUUUAGGUUACAAGCAGGAGGCUUAAGAGCUCUAUUAAUCACUAUACAAGUGAAAGCUCACCAGCAGCGAUUGAUCUCUUGACCAGCUUUGCCCAAGAUUCAUUGGUUUCCGUAAUAAUCUUAAGAGCGUAAUCCUUGUUUGCUGGCUUGUUGCCAAGAGCAAACCUAUUAGCAGGUUUUCCAUCAGGUAUCUUAUAGUCUCUAAACCAGUCCCUGAUUGCUGUGAGAGUGCCCGGAAAAUGUUUUUCCACAUCAUCAACAUCAUUAACAAGUGAAGCUCUUGGAUCAUCUAGUGAAAUAGCAACUAUUUUCCAGUCAAGUUCUCCUUCAUCAAUCAUUGCCAGAGCAGCUAAAGGUUUGACCUUCAGAACCUGGCCAAUUUUACCUCGGCUAUCCCCAAUCUCAACAACAUCAACAGGGUCAUUAUCACCUAAUGCCCCUUCAACUUCGGUAUUCGCAAAAGUAGGAUCUUCCCAUGUUUGAGGAAGCAAUCCAUAGUUCCAGUGAAUAUUAUAUGGAUAGUAUCGAAGUUUCCCCUUCUUUGUGUCUUGUUUAAUAGGAGUGUGUUGCUCAUCUGUAGCAACUUCCAUCUUUGCACUUGAUUCUUUGGGGAUCUCAACAACAAAAUUGAAAACACCAUCACCCAAAUGUAGUGGUAUGUCAUGCCAAGGGGAUAUCUUUUUGCCGGAAUUGUCUGCAAAAAACACGCGGUAAUCUAGGGUUUCUGGCUGUCCUUCUUCUAUAGUCUGAAUCUGGGGAUUGUAGAUUGCACUGCAAGUGAAAAGACGCUUCUUUUGCACCGGUCCGUUUCUGAAGCAAAGGCUGAAAUUGUUGGGCCUUCGUAAUGGACCUUUCGAUAGGAGCGAAGCCGUUAAAGUGUUGCUGGCUGAUACCAUGAUUCUUGCCGCCGCCAUUGCUGUUUCGCUGGCAAGUGUUCAGUCCCUAAUGGCAACAGAAAUUAUUGGAGAAGAUAAAACAGUGAAAGUUGCUAGUGCUGCUAUCAGCCUAUCACUGCCUAACAUCAACCACAGUCCACAUAUAUGCACAAAUGAGAUCGA